rnacentral:piRNA from 2 species
UGCUAAUUUGGUAGUUUCUGGAAUCUGCA